rnacentral:rRNA from 1 species
ACCCGCUGAACUUAAGCAUAUCAAUAAGCGGAGGAAAAGAAACCAACAGGGAUUGCCUCAGUAACGGCGAGUGAAGCGGCAAUAGCUCAAAUUUGAAAUCUGGCUCUUUCAGGGUCCGAGUUGUAAUUUGCAGAGGGCGCUUUGGCGUUGGCAGCAGCCUAAGUUCCUUGGAACAGGUCAUCAUAGAGGGUGAGAAUCCCGUAUGUGGCUGCUUGUCUUCGCCGUGUAAAGCCCCUUCGAUGAGUCGAGUUGUUUGGGAAUGCAGCUCUAAAUGGGAGGUGAAUUUCUUCUAAAGCUAAAUAUUGGCCAGAGACCGAUAGCGCACAAGUAGAGUGAUCGAAAGAUGAAAAGCACUUUGGAAAGAGAGUCAAAAAGCACGUGAAAUUGUUGAAAGGGAAGCGCUUGCAGCCAGACGUGCCCGCAGUUGCUCAUCUGGGGUUCUCCCCGGUGCACUCUUCUGUGGGCAGGCCAGCAUCAGUUCGGGCGGUUGGAGAAAGACCUGUGUCAUGUAGCUGUUUUCGGGCAGUGUUAUAGGGCAGGUGGAAUGCAACCAGCCGGAACUGAGGUCCGCGCAUCUGCUAGGAUGCUGGCGUAAUGGCUGUAAGCGGCCCGUCUUGAAACACGG